rnacentral:rRNA from 1 species
UACAGGGGGUGCAAACGUUGCUCGGAAUCAUUGGGCGUAAAGCGCACGUAGGCGGUUCGUUAUGUCGGAUGUGAAAGCCCUUGGCUUAACCGAGGAAGUGCAUCCGAAACUGGCGAGCUAGAGUACUAAAGAGGAUCGCGGAAUUCCCGGUGUAGAGGUGGAAUUCGUAGAUAUCGGGAGGAACACCGGUGGCGAAGGCGGCGAUCUGGGUAGAUACUGACGCUGAGGUGCGAAAGCGUGGGGAGCAAACAGG